rnacentral:rRNA from 1 species
UGAGGAAUAUUGGUCAAUGGACGGAAGUCUGAACCAGCCAUGCCGCGUGAAGGAUGAAGGCGUUCUGCGUUGUAAACUUCUUUUAUCAGGGAAGAAACCUAUUUUUCUAAGAUAGUUGACGGUACCUGAGGAAUAAGCACCGGCUAACUCCGUGCCAGCAGCCGCGGUAAUACGGAGGGUGCAAGCGUUAUCCGGAUUUACUGGGUUUAAAGGGUGUGUAGGCGGCCUGUUAAGUCUGGGGUGAAAUCCCGGGGCUCAACCCCGGAACUGCCUUGGAUACUAUCAGGCUUGAAUUAUGUUGAGGUAGGCGGAAUAUAACAUGUAGCGGUGAAAUGCAUAGAUAUGUUAUAGAACACCGAUUGCGAAGGCAGCUUACUAAGCAUAUAUUGACGCUGAGGCACGAAAGCGUGGGGAUCAAACAGGAUUAGAUACCCUGGUAGUCCACGCCCUAAACGAUGAUUACUCGUCAUACGAGAUACACUUUGUGUGACCAAGCGAAAGCGUUAAGUAAUCCACC